rnacentral:rRNA from 1 species
CCUACGGGGGGCAGCAGUGAGGAAUAUUGGUCAAUGGGCGCGAGCCUGAACCAGCCAAGUAGCGUGAAGGAUGACGGCCCUAUGGGUUGUAAACUUCUUUUAUAAAGGAAUAAAGUGAGGCACGUGUGCCUUUUUGUAUGUACUUUAUGAAUAAGCAUCGGCUAACUCCGUGCCAGCAGCCGCGGUAAUACGGAGGAUCCGAGCGUUAUCCGGAUUUAUUGGGUUUAAAGGGAGCGUAGUUGGGUUGUUAAGUCAGUUGUGAAAGUUUGCGGCUCAACCGUAAAAUUGCAAUUGAUACUGGCUGUCUUGAGUACAGUUGAGGUAGGCGGAAUUCGUGGUGUAGCGGUGAAAUGCUUAGAUAUCACGCAGAACUCCGAUUGCGAAGGCAGCUUACUAAACUGCCACUGACGUUGAUGCUCGAAAGUGUGGGUAGCAAACAGGAUUAGAUACCCCAGUAGUC